rnacentral:rRNA from 1 species
GAUGAACGCUGGCGGCGUGCCUAAUACAUGCAAGUCGAGCGAACAGACGAGGAGCUUGCUCCUUUGACGUUAGCGGCGGACGGGUGUGUAACACGUGGGUAACCUACCUAUAAGACUGGGAUAACUUCGGGAAACCGGAGCUAAUACCGGAUAAUAUUUCGAACCGCAUGGUUCGAUAGUGAAAGAUGGCUUUGCUAUCACUUAUAGAUGGACCUGCGCCGUAUUAGCUAGUUGGUAAGGUAACGGCUUACCAAGGCAACGAUACGUAGCCGACCCGAGAGGGUGAUCGGCCACACUGGAACUGAGACACGGUCCAGACUCCUACGGGAGGCAGCAGUAGGGAAUCUUCCGCAAUGGGCGAAAGCCUGACGGAGCAACGCCGCGUGAGUGAUGAAGGUCUUCGGAUCGUAAAACUCUGUUAUUAGGGAAGAACAAACGUGUAAGUAACUGUGCACGUCUUGACGGUACCUAAUCAGAAAGCCACGGCUAACUACGUG